AGCAGGUGUAAGGCAUGUAGUGGGAUUCGAGUUUCACAAAAUUUCAUAUGAAGUUGCAACAUCCGGCCCCUGUGGAUAUUUAGUUCCAAAUUAUUGAUAAGCCCCAGAUGGAGAUUAGGAAAGGCGACGUGAAUAAAAGGCUCUUGGGUAAAGGGACACACUGGAUCUACCACCUUAACACUAUAGAGGAACAUGGUGGUAUGAACCAGGAUUGGGAAUUGUCCUGUUUUCUCAGUUAGUAUUUUGUCUUCCUGAACAGUGGGUGACCCGACAUAUAAUGUUUUUAGGUAUUUACAAUUUUUAUAUGUUUUUUGUAUUAGUGUUUUCUAACACAUUCUUUAAAGGUGAACCAAGGGUUAAUAUGGUCGUUGUGGUGAACUAAGGGUUAAUGAUUUUAUGGGUGGGUUUAUUUGCACUUAGGGGUAUUUAUGUCUGAUUUCUGUGUGAACCAGUGUGCUUUUGAGAAAGUGACUGAAUAGUCACGAAACGCGUUAAGCUGUGGUUUUGUAACGGAAUAAUAAUGGAACAAUAAAAUAUGGAUUUUUAAAGUGACUUUCAAGUCUAUUUAUCUCCCCCCAUGGUGCACCAUAUUCACUUCUAAACGCUCUUUCUAUAGGUAUCAGGGUUGUGGCUUCUCUUUCCAGUUGCCGUUGAAAAUCUGGAGGAGUGUGGGAAUUAUUUCUUCUCUGGUGAUAGCGUCUGGGAGUCGGUUCUGGUCCCCAUGCUCUCCAGUUCCUGCUGAUUCCAUGGAGCUCCUUGCGCAUUUCAUCGGUCAUCGUGUGCAGCAUCUCCUUGAUAUCGCUCUUGGAAGAUCAGACUCUGCAGGAAUGAAGUUUCCCAUCCAUGAACAAUGGCAUCUGAGGUGGCUUCCCUGCACUUGAACCCCACUGCUACACCCACUGACUGGCAUCAAGCAAAUCCGCUCCCCCAGGGCUCAGGACAGGGGCCCCCAUUACUGGUCUCAUUAUAGCACAAUACCAAGUGGCAAGUAAGUUAAUUAAGCAAUAUCAAUAUCAUUAAACAGUAUCUUUGUCUAGAACAGGACUAUGGUCUGUAUUCAGUAAAUAAUUAGAAAUAUUAAAGAUAAUGCAAACUA